rnacentral:tRNA from 1 species
GCCCUCAUAGCUCAGCUGGUAGAGCAGCUGAUUUGUAAUCAGAAGGUCGGCGGUUCAAGUCCGUCUGGGGGCACCA